rnacentral:tRNA from 1 species
CAGAGAGUAGUUAAAUUGACUUAGGAGAAAAUACUAGCUUUGGGAGCUAGAGGUGGGGGUUCGAAUCCCUCUUCUUUGA